rnacentral:lncRNA from 1 species
CACUACGACCUGCGGCAUGUGUCAAUGGGGAUUAUUUGGGGGCAGUUCAACAAGCCCUGUAUAUUUUCAGCAAUGCUUUGUUUUUCUCCCCAAAACACAAAGUGCUAUUUAGUCGUAGGAAAGCGAGGGAGGGACAGUCCUUUCCACUGAGCGGAUAGGAAAGCCUCAUCCCCUGGGUGGGAGUAGACUGCAGGGCCAUUGCCACCACGUGUGUACCCCAUCGCACGGACUUACUCCCCUCAAGCUGGCGUGAGCUCUCCACGGUAACAACUGGCUGCUUUAAAAGCUCCCCACAUGAUUCUAUGGAGAGAGAGCAGAGCCUGGGCCCCGAGCAGAAGGCCUCAUCUGAGGCCAGCAGGCCAGGUGCAGCGUCAUAGAACAUAGAGCCCAGGCAGCCCUAGAUGCUGUGGCUUCUGUGUUGAGAUGAAAGGAGGAGGAAGGGGUCACGUGAUCCUUAUACACAGCCGAGGAAAAGAUCCCCAGGCCCCAGUUCUUUCGACUCCUCUCCUUUCAGAAUCAGCCCUCCCGGGGCUCUGACUGUGGCUGGGGGGAGGGCGGGCACGUAUUCACGAGCGGUGCUCACUGCGCCUCCUUGACCCUGGCCGUUGCUCCGUCCUCGCGUGACUAUGGGAGGCAGCUCUUUAGAGCAGUAGUUCUCAAACUGGAGUGUGCGCCAGAAUCCCCUGGAGGACAUAUAAAAACACAGAUCGCUGGGUCCUGCCCCUGGAGUUUCUGACUCAGUAGAUCUGGGGUUGGGCCCAAGAAUGUACAUAUCUGGUGAGGUCCUGGAUGAUGCUGGUCCAGGGACCACCCUUUGAGAACCUGCAUGUCCACAGCCCUGGUUAGCAGGCCUGGAUCCCUCCUUGGGAACGUGGCAAGAUGUGUCAGAGGCUGCGCUGGGCAAAUUCAAACUCCAAACACGAGACCACCAGGCAAGAGCCGUUCUUGACUCUGGGCAUUCGGGGAUCACAGAGAGAGGCUUAGCAGCUCUCCGGUCCUGGGCCAGGAAAGCUUUCUACAGUCACUGUUCUGUGGGUGGAGGUCACGAAGUCCAGACUGGAGAUGGUGAGUGGAGUGGAGGGGCAGGUGCGUGCGCUGGCUUUGGUAAGGGAUAAACAUGUCCCAAACCACCAAAGUGGGGCACAUGAGAAGAAUUAUUGAUGGAUGGUUUUUGGCCAGAGGUGCAAAGCAGACCACCCCUCUGGGGGCUCGGUGCUGUCUGCAUGAGUGUCAUCAUUGGUCACUUGCUUCACGCUGGCUCCUCCAGGGACCCUUCCUCUUCAGCAGCCUCCUUGGGUAAGGAGCAGUGUUGUGGCUGAGAAUCUUGGGUUUGUGUACCGCUUUGUCACCUGCUAGUUCAGGGGCAAGGUUUCUGAACCAUCCAAGCCUCCGUUUCUUUCUUUCUUUUUUUGUCCUUUUAGGGCCUCACCUGAGGCAUAUGGAGGUUCCCAGGCUAGGGGUUGACUCAGAGCCGUAACUGCCCGCCUAUGCCACAGCCACAGCAACUCCGGAUCCGAGCUGUGUCUGUGACCUACAUCGCGGCUCACAGAAAUGCUGGAUCCUUAACCCAUUGAGCAGAGCCAGGGAUGGAACCAGAGUCCUCAUGGUUAUUAGUCAGGUUCAUUACCUAUGAGCCCCAACAGGAACUCUACCAAUCCUCACUUUCUUAACAGUGUGGUGCUGAGCAUUCCUGGGAAUGCUCCUGAGGUUAGGGCUCUCUGCAAGGAAAACAGCCACAAGGGCAGCCUGGGUGCUCUUUGGAAAAUACUAGGAGGGGAGGAGACCCGAAGGCGGGGCUUGGCUUUUCCACCCACUCACCUUCCACAAGCCACUCCAUCCUUUCAUCUUCACUUUCCUCCUCUGUACCAUGAAGUUGGAAUAAAUUCAGAACCUCUUCUGGCUGUAACUGGUUUGAGUCCAUUGGCAACUGGAAGACUCAAGGAGAGGCUGGAAGGUCUAAACACCCAGAUAGCCAGGAGCGUUUCUUCCAAACCACCAGGCUGGAUGUGUGGGGCGCCGACGGCCGACUCCUCAUGCGAUCCCGAGCCUCAGGUUGCUGCUGGGCGGCCCUAACCCCCGGCCCUGCUCCGCUCGCCCCUCCCUGCCGGGCUGGGAUGCGGAGUCGGCGGAAAGUGUGCGCGCUCUGCCUGGGGCCCGCCAGACCCGCGCCGGCGCACCCGGCUCGCGCAGCCAAUCGGCGCGUGCACCGCGGGUGACCUCCCCCGGGCCCCGGAUAAAUCGUCAAGUUGCCCCGCCGCGGGUCUCAGUCUUCUGGCCUAAUUAGCGGAGCCGGUCAUGAGCAGCGCGGAGGCCCGGGCCGUCCCGCGGGCUGGGGAGGGGCACGGGCGCGCGGCGCGCUUCUCUGGGGCCGAGACCUCUCCGCGCCGCGGGUAGACGGCUGGGCGGUCGCCGCCCAGAGCGCUCCCGGAGCCGCCUUCGGGCGCAGCGACCUUGGCCGGUCGGUGCCCGCACCCCGGAGAGGAGACUUGGGCUGGUCCGGGCGUGGACGUCCCGCGGCUUGCCACCCUCUCCCUCGGACCCUGGGCUCGGAUCUCCCGCGGCCGAGAUGCCGCAGAUGCUGAACCUGCCGCCGCCCACAGACCUCAGACGCGCCUUUCCUGGAGAGUCUGAACUUCUGAAAAUCCCGGGGCCGCGUCGCGGGUAUUGUUUUUGCGUUGUCUUCUGCUGGGCUUUGGCUUUGGGAUUCUCUGGCUACCUGGAUACGCCUUUCCUUUGUGGGUAAGUCUCCCGUGGACCGCAGCACCAGUAAGCAACCCCGGGGAAUAGCAGCGUUUAAAAUCCCCACCUGGAGGCGCCUGGGGUUUGGAGACGAGGACCCCACUGCUGACCACGUAAGAGCUCUCUGAUUCCACCUUUCCUCUGAUGGGGAGAAAUAUCAUUCCAUGGCAGAAUUUUCUUUAAGCACAUUGUCUGAUAGGAUUGGCAAUUACUAACCAAGAAAAUGAGUAGCAAUUAGGAGUUCAGUAAUAAAUGGAAGUCUAUUGUCCUAAUUGAGUGGAAUUACUGAUGGGUAAUGGCAACACUGAAUUUCUCAGUUUAAUUAAGAGUUUAUAUAAUUAUAGUGCACUUUUUAUUUCUUGGGGGAGCCAUGGGGUAGGAAUUAAAUAACCGGUGUGAUGGGUAAGAAACCCAUUUAAUGGAUAAGUAACCGUUGGGUUGGAAUAAAUGUGGGUGCCUUUGCUCAAGUAAUGGGAACUUAGAUGAAGUCCUAAUCAAGGGAUGUGCCAGCUUGGGCCAGGCAGGGCUUUCUUUCAGCUGCGAAUUCCUGUCUGAUACAAGUCUGUGUGGCUUAGAUAUUAUUAGGUCAUCUCUGCCACUGGCACACUGACAUUGGGCUGUUCCAAAAACAGCAAAGCUCAGCACUCCCCCGCAGUGGGAUUAGCCCACAUCCAUGCUUUCUGUCACUGUGUCUGCCACAUUCCCCAAGAAUGAAAUGAGAGGGUCAUUUGAGAGCAUAUGCCGUCUGGGGUGUUUCUGUAUCAAGAAUCUCAUGAUCUCGCCCUGCAGCUGUAGUUGUGAUAGGACGGGGCUGGUGAGUCCCACUGAAGUUGUGCAGCCUCAAAACGGAGUGACCAUGUAGGUGUGGAAUUUGUUUGAGAACAAAUUCUGUAAUUAUGAAGUUGUGAUUUUCCUCAUUGCUGGUGUAUUGUUUCCUUUGCUAUUAUGUUCUCAUGAAAUAGGUCCCCUCAUGGGAAGCAGCGAAACUGGAGCAAAAUCCCUUCUCAGAGGAUAAUUUUCCUGGUUUGUUUUUGUUUGGUUGGUUUUUUUUUUUUUGGGGGGGGGUGUAGGUUUCUGGGAAUCCUUUUAACCCUGCAUUGGGAUGUGUGUGUUUAUUUCUGUAAGAAGCUCCAGCAGAUUUGGCAAUUGCUAUGUUUUUGAGUAUACUGGGAUAUAAUCAGCACUUCCAGUUAGAAUAUUUAUUUGUACGUUGGCGGCGUCUUCUGGCUCUCAUAAGGUCUAGAUGUUUCAACAGGAUGAGCAGAGACCCCCUUCUCCAGCGAGCUCCCGUGUCACAGAGUGGGAUUGGGGAGCACCAUUAACCUUGUGUAUCGCUGCAGAAGAGACAGCCAGUGGCAGGAACGGAGCAGUGCAUCUUAAGUGCUGCAUGGGUCCUAACGUUUGCAAGGCCUUUGGGAACUUAGCCCUACUCCCCCACUGUUAAUGAGAAGGAGCAGGAUGGAGGGAUGUUUGCUGUUGGGUGCCCCAGCCUCAGCCCUUUCAGGCGUGUUGCAGGUGCCUGGGACAGAACAGGGAAGUGACUAGAGGCUGUGCCCGUGUGAUUGUCCAGAAUUGUCCUGCUCUGGUUUUUCCUCUAUCGCCCCAGCCCUGUUUUGUUAUCGCGGCUAUGGAAAUCCUACAACACUGUUGAAAACACCUACACCUGUCCUCCCAGAACCUUGGCCGCUUCGUGCAGGCUCAUUUGACUGGUUUGCUUCUCCUGUUUUAUGUUCUUCCCAAGGCACAGCAGACUUCUGUACAACAGGCAGAUUCUUAAACACACAACACGGAUGGCAACGUGAGGCUUGUAACCUUCGAGAAUGACAUGCUACCGCAUUUCAUGAUUUUUUGUAAGGGGUAAUUAUUAACGAUCACAACUCCCUACCGUCCCUCUUUUUCCUUAGCACUCACGGUUCCUUCGCACACCUGCCUGUAACUGUUUAAAAAAGCGCUAUGAUAGGAGUUCCCACUGUGGCACAGUGGGAUCAGCAGCAUCUCUGCCAGCACCAAGACACAGAUUCCAUCCCCGGCCCGACACAGUGGGGUAAGGAUCUGGCAUUGCCUCAGCUGUGGCGUAAGUCACAACUGCAGCUCAGAUCUGAUCCC